AAAUAAAUGUGUAGUAAAAAAGUCAUCCAGUAGUUCGCGUAAAAACUCAAGGCAAAGAAGAAAAGACCUAAAAAGAAGUUCUUCACCCUCUUAUUCGCCUCAAAGGAAUGAUAGAAGAACUCAUAGACGCAACCCAAAUUUUAAAUCCUACCGAGAAUUAAAUGAUCGACGACACAUUCGUGGAUAUAAUAACGAUAGAUUAGCGAAGUCCAGAUAUGCCAAUAUUAGAAGUCAUCCAUCACGCGUUAAUUCACGAGAUGAACCUAGAUUUAAGCCCAGUAUGUCACAAACAUCGGUUCAACGGAAAAGCAGGAGCAUUUCCAAAAAGCGUCGUGUUUCACCAAUCGAAAAUUCAAAAAUUGCUCCAAAGGAGCAAAUUAAU